CCGGAUAUCUGACAAGCAAAUCAAAACCAUUAGCUAGCUAGCUGCUCCUGUCACCUCUACUAUACCAACUGCCUAACAAGAUAAUAUAUAUAUAAAUACAGCUUAUAUAUAUUUGAAUACAUUUAUACAACACCGAAGAGCACUGGACUGAAAGCACCCAAGACAAAUGGCAGAUAACCUGAGUGAAGCCCUCAAGACACUGAAGCUCUCCUCAGCAGACAGCACCUCGGACAGUGUAGAGAACUGCCUGGACUGCCUGCUGAAAGCCUUGGCCCAAAACAAUGUGGAAGCGAGUGAAAAGAUUCAGGAGAUGGGUGUUCUUCCUAUGAUGCCUUCAUUAUUGGCUAUACAGAACUCCUGCACACCAAAAGUAGCCAACAUCAUAGCAGAAUUGGCGAAAAACGAGUUUAUGCGGAGUCCCUGUGUGGAGGCAGGGCUAAUUCCCCCUCUGGUGCAGCUGCUCAACUGCAAAGACCAGGAGGUGCUGCUUCAGACGGGUCGAGCCCUGGGCAACAUCUGCUAUGACAGCCACACACUGCAGGCCCAGCUGAUCAGCAUGGGGGUGAUCCCCACUCUGGUGCAGCUUCUCGGGGUCCACUCCCAGAAUACGGCCCUCACAGAAAUGUGCCUCAUUGCCUUCGGAAACCUGGCAGAACUGGAAUCGAGUAAGGAGCAGUUUGCGUCUACAAACAUCGCAGAGGAGCUAGUGAGACUGUUCCGGAAGCAGGUGGAGCAUGAAAAGAAGGAGAUGAUCUUUGAGGUGCUGGCUCCGCUGGCUGAGAACGAUGUGAUCAAGCUACAGCUGGUGGAGGCAGGCCUGGUGGAGUGUCUGUUGGAUGUGGUUGGUCAGACGGUGGACAGUGACAGAGAGGAGGACACGGCUCAGCUGAAAACCGCCUCUGACCUCAUGGUGCUGCUGCUGCUGGGAGACGAGUCAAUGCAGAAACUGUUUGAUGGGGGUAAAGGUAACGUGUUCCAGAGGGUUCUCUCCUGGGUUCCGUCUAACAGCCACCAGCUUCAGCUAGCUGGCGCCCUGGCCAUCGCAAACUUCGCCCGCAACGAUGGGAACUGCAUCCACAUGGUGGACACGGGCAUUGUGCAGAUGCUGCUGGACCUUCUGGACAGGCAUGUGGAGGAGGGCAACGUCACCGUCCAGCACGCUGCUCUCAGUGCCCUCAGGAACCUGGCCAUCCCAGUGGUGAACAAGUCUAAGAUGCUCACGGCCGGCGUGACCGACGUGGUGCUGAGGUUCCUCCCGUCCGAGAUGCCACCGGUUCAGUUCAAGCUGCUGGGAACGUUACGGAUGCUCAUCGACACACAAGCGGAUGCUGCAGAACAGUUGGGUAUGAACCGUAAGCUGGUAGAGAGGCUGGUGGAGUGGUGUGAGGCCAAGGACCAUGCAGGCGUGAUGGGAGAAUCCAACCGCCUGCUCUCAGCACUCAUUCGACACAGCAAGUCAAAGGAAGUUGUUCGGACAGUCAUUCAGUAUGGUGGUGUAAAGCACUUGGUUACCAUGGCAACGAGUGAACACAUGAUCAUGCAGAAUGAAGCACUGGUGGCCUUGGGUCUCAUAGCAGCACUAGAUUUAGAUUCAGCAGAGAAGGAUUUUGUAGGGGCCACACUAGUGCAGGUGCUGCACAAACUUCUGAUGGAGGAGAAGAGCGCUCCUGAGAUCAAAUACAACUCCAUGAUCCUCAUCUGCUCCGUCAUGGGCUCAGAGCCGCUUCAUAAAGAAGUGCAUAGCCUGGCCUUCAUUGACGUGGUGUCCAAGCUACGCACCCAUGAGAACAAAACGGUGUCCCACCAGGCCUCACUCACAGAACAGAGGCUAACGGCACAGAGCUAAAGGACUCUUGUACACCCCGCCCUCCUACAAACAUGUGCACACACACACACACACACACACUCUAUCCACUCUGCCUGCCAACCUUUCCUGUACACGCCCAUAACCUCCUAUUGACCUCACCAUCUCCCACUGUCGUGUGCCAAGGUAUCCCAUUCCUCUGCCCCCGCCCCUUCCCUGCUGUAACGACUCCUCCCUGCCCCCAUGCUGCCUGUGCAUGCGUUCCUGACUCCUGCAAAUAGGUUCUGUGAGAUACCAGAGAGCGCAUUUUCUUUUAAACAGACCGCAGCUGUGAUAUGAACGAAGCAUCCGCAUCUCAUGGAGGACGAAGACGACGGUUUUGAAAAUGCAAAAAAAAUAAUAAUAAUAAUAAAAAAAAAAUUUAAAAGUAGAUAAAAAACA
ensembl:lncRNA